UGUCGUCAGCUCGUGUCGUGAGAUGUUAGGGUUAAGUCCCGCAACGAGCGCAACCCUUGUCUAUUAGUUCGCUACAUUCAGUUGGGCACUCUAAUGAGACUGCCGGUAAUAAACCGGAGGAAGGUGGGGAUGACGUCAAAUCAUCAUGCCCCUUAUGACCUGGGCUACACACGUGCUACAAUGGUUGGUACAACGAGUUGCGAGUCGGUGACGGCGAGCUAAUCUCUUAAAGCCAAUCUCAGUUCGGAUUGUAGGCUGCAACUCGCCUACAUGAAGUCGGAAUCGCUAGUAAUCGCGGAUCAGCACGCCGCGGUGAAUACGUUCCCGGGCCUU
rnacentral:rRNA from 1 species